CAUGGCUUCUGUGUUCUCAUGGCUUUCUCUGUUCACAGCUACACAGGUUGGGUCUGAUAUCACAGCUACACAGGUUGGAUCUGACAUCACAGUUACACAGGUUAGGUCUGAUAUCACAGCCACACAGGUUGGAUCUGACAUCACAGUUACACAGGUUGGGUCUGAUAUCACAGCUACACAGGUUGGGUCUGACAUCAAAGGUUGGGUCUGAUAUCACAGCUACACAGGUUGGAUCUGACAUAACAGCUACACAGGUUGGGUCUGACAUCACAGGUUGGGUCUGACAUCACAGCUACUCAGGUUGGAUCUGACAUCACAGCUACACAGGUUGGGUCUGAUAUCACAGCUACACAGGUUGGGUCUGAUAUCACAGCUACACAGGUUGGGUCUGACAUCACAGCUACAC
ensembl:lncRNA